rnacentral:rRNA from 1 species
AUUGAACGCUGGCGGCAUGCCUUACACAUGCAAGUCGAACGGUAACGCGGGGCAACCUGGCGACGAGUGGCGAACGGGUGAGUAAUGCAUCGGAACGUGCCCAGUUGUGGGGGAUAACUGCUCGAAAGAGCAGCUAAUACCGCAUACGACCUGAGGGUGAAAGCGGGGGAUCGCAAGACCUCGCGCAAUUGGAGCGGCCGAUGUCGGAUUAGCUAGUUGGUGGGGUAAAGGCCCACCAAGGCGACGAUCCGUAGCUGGUCUGAGAGGACGACCAGCCACACUGGGACUGAGACACGGCCCAGACUCCUACGGGAGGCAGCGGUGGGGAAUUUUGGACAAUGGGCGCAAGUCUGAUCCAGCCAUGCCGCGUGCGGGAAGAAGGCCUUCGGGUUGUAAACCGCUUUUGUCAGGGAAGAAAUCUUCUGGGUUAAUACCUCGGGAGGAUGACGGUACCUGAAGAAUAAGCACCGGCUAACUACGUGCCAGCCGCCGCAGUAACAC